GUGCUUUAGGGAAGAACUGGUCCCUCACAUAUAAAUUUCCAUCUAAUCACUUUGUUAUUUGCCUUUUUUCCGGUUGCAUACUGAUCAUUAUAAGAUGGGAAAUGU